rnacentral:rRNA from 1 species
AGUGAACGUUGGCGGCGUGGAUUAGGCAUGCAAGUCGAGCGAGAACCGUAGCAAUACGGGGACAGCGGCGAAAGGGACAGUAAUGUGUAGGUACCUACCCCGGGGUCUGGGAUAGCUGCGGGAAACUGCAGGUAAUACCGGAUAAUGUCUUCGGACCGAAGGUGUGAUUCCACCUUGGGAGGGGCCUGCAUCCUAUUAGCUUGUUGGCGGGGUAACGGCCCACCAAGGCAACGAUGGGUAGCGGGUGUGAGGGCACGACCCGCGUCAUUGGGACUGAGAUACUGCCCAGACACCUACGGGUGGCUGCAGUCGAGGAUCUUCGGCAAUGGGCGAAAGCCUGACCGAGCGACGCCGCGUGCGGGAUGAAGGCCUUCGGGUUGUAAACCGCUGUCGUAGAGGAGGAAAUGCAGGGGGGUUCUCCCUUCUGUUUGACCUAUUCUAGGAGGAAGGACGGGCUAAGUUCGUGCCAGCCGCCGCCGUAA